UACGAAGGGAGCUAGCGUUGUUCGGAAUCACUGGGCGUAAAGCGCACGUAGGCGGAUGUGUCAGUCAGGGGUGAAAUCCCGGGGCUCAACCUCGGAACUGCCUUUGAUACAGCACGUCUUGAGUCCGAUAGAGGUGGGUGGAAUUCCCAGUGUAGAGGUGAAAUUCGUAGAUAUUGGGAAGAACACCGGUGGCGAAGGCGGCGCUCUGGACCGAGACUGACGCUGAGGCGCGAAAGCGUGGGGAGCAAACAGGG
rnacentral:rRNA from 1 species